GAUGAACGCUGGCGGCGUGCCUAAUACAUGCCAGUCGAGCGAACAGACGAGGAGCUUGCUCCUCUGACGUUAGCGGCUGACGGGUGAGUAACACGUGGAUAACCUACCUAUAAGACUGGGAUAACUUCGGGAAACCGGAGCUAAUACCGGAUAAUAUAUUGAACCGCAUGGUUCAAUAGUGAAAGACGGUUUUGCUGUCACUUAUAGAUGGAUCCGCGCCGCAUUAGCUAGUUGGUAAGGUAACGGCUUACCAAGGCAACGAUGCGUAGCCGACCUGAGAGGGUGAUCGGCCACACUGGAACUGAGACACGGUCCAGACUCCUACGGGAGGCAGCAGUAGGGAAUCUUCCGCAAUGGGCGAAAGCCUGACGGAGCAACGCCGCGUGAGUGAUGAAGGUCUUCGGAUCGUAAAACUCUGUUAUUAGGGAAGAACAAAUGUGUAAGUAACUAUGCACGUCUUGACGGUACCUAAUCAGAAAGCCACGGCUAACUACGUG
rnacentral:rRNA from 1 species